rnacentral:SRP_RNA from 1 species
GCUGAGCUUGGUAACACAAGCUUGUAACUCAAGUGAGGGCAUUAAGGUGAUGUGAAUAAACUAAAAAACCAAAAUCGAAGAUCCCUUGCCAUAAAUCUCCAUCAAGGCUAAAAUGCCGGAAUUUGCUUGGGCUUCUCAAUCUCCAUCAAGGCUACAAUGCCGGACUUUGCUUGGGCCUUCUUAGUUUGGACCAUCACUUUU